rnacentral:rRNA from 1 species
CGGGGUGAGUAACGCGUGAGGAACCUGCCUCAGAGAGGGGGAUAACACACCGAAAGGUGUGCUAAUACCGCAUAACAUAUGAGAGGGGCAUCCCUUUUAUAUCAAAGAUUUAUUGCUCUGAGAUGGCCUCGCGUCCAAUUAGCUAGUUGGUGAGGUAACGGCCCACCAAGGCGACGAUUGGUAGCCGGACUGAGAGGUUGAACGGCCACAUUGGGACUGAGACACGGCCCAGACUCCUACGGGAGGCAGCAG